GCGCCUGUAGCUCAAUGGAUAGAGCACUUGGCUUCGGACCAAGGGGUUGUGGGUCCAAAUCCUACCAGGCGCG
rnacentral:tRNA from 2 species